UAGGGAAUCUUCGGCAAUGGGGGGAACCCUGACCGAGCAACGCCGCGUGAGUGAAGAAGGUUUUCGGAUCGUAAAGCUCUGUUGUUAAGGAAGAACGAGUGUGAGAAUGGAAAGUUCAUGCUGUGACGGUACUUAACCAGAAAGGGACGGCUAACUACGUGCCAGCAGCCGCGGUAAUACGUAGGUCCCGAGCGUUGUCCGGAUUCAUUGGGCGUAAAGCGCGCGCAGGCGGCUCUUCAAGCGGAACCUCUAACCCCGGGGCUCAACCUCGGGCCGGGUUCCGAACUGGAGGGCUCGAGUGCGGUAGAGGCAGGCGGAAUUCCCGGUGUAGCGAUGGAAUGCGCAGAUAUCGGGAAGAACACCGAUGGCGAAGGCAGCCUGCUGGGCCGGCACUGACGCUGAGGCGCGAAAGCUAGGGGAGCGAACAGG
rnacentral:rRNA from 1 species